GCCAUGUUGAAGCUCGGGAGCUGCUGCGGGCCGAGGCUCCGGCGCUCGUGGAGCUGAGAAGUGGCGUGGUGAGAAUGGUGAGGCCGAGGAUGUAGGGGUCGAUAACCUCGAGCACUGGCUGGGACUGGACGGAGACUACACUGGGGAUGGGCAGGGCCGUGGGACCGGCGAUGGCCUCGAGUCGGCGUGAGCUUCAACCCGCAGGGGUUGCACAGGGCCUCACCCCUUUUCCUGGGCUUUUUACCCGGGGACCCAGGAAGUCGCUUCACUUCUGGGCGCGAAGGACACCUUAGAUUGUUCCUAGCAGGACAAUCUGGGCGGAAGGUGUCUUCGUUGUGUUUUGGGGGCCGGGGACGGCGGGCCUCGCGCCAGGUUGGACAAGAAGCCCGCUUGCACCCGAUGAGUGAGGCUAAACCUAGGUUAAUUUUUUGUCGUGUUGCCAUUUUUUUUUCUCUAUCCCUCGUGCCUUCUUCCUCAGGUGUCUGACGCCCCCCUCCCUCUCCCUCCUUCCCUCCAUCUCUCUCUCCUCCCCUCCCCCCCGUAAUGAUUUGCAAAAGGCCUCAAAGAAAUCAUUGGUAGAUAACUGAGCGCGGAGGGUUGACUUUGGUCCCGAAAAUAAGGAAGACAAGGAGCUACCAGAAGAAGUUAGCACCUAAUCUUUCUUCCUCACCAGCGAAAGUGAAAGAUAUUGAAAAAGGACUGCAAGUGAGCAAUUUCACUCAGGACUAAUGCCGAAUGAAGCUAUGCUAAAAUACUUCGGAUCCUCAAACUCGAUUCUGAAGCUCACUAUGGAAAGAUGGGAAAUUUUACUUCCUACCUAGGGUCUUUGAAGAGUUAAAAAUGCUGAUAAGCAUAACUUGUGGUGUUUAUUCUCCUCUUUGGCAUUUAAAUCUGAAAACUGAGUUUUGUGCAGGAGAUGUAGCGCAGUGAUGAGGAUUCACCUAGCAUAUUCAAGGCUCUGGUUGGAUCCCCAGCCGUGGUUUGUUUGCGUCAGUGAAAAUACACACUGUGCCUCCGUGAGAAGUUAAUAAAAUUCACCUUCCUUUCAAAAAACUAAGCACAUUGGUUUUUAAAUUGCCAAAAUACAGUAGGAACAGUGAAAAGGUGUAUGCAGAUGAUGGCAGUUUAAAAAAGUUUUCCAAGAUUCAUCUUAUGUUGUGAGAAGAAGCCAGAGAGUGGCAAAAGCCAUUCUUGAAUAAAUUCAACCAUGUAAAAAGCCUCAGAAAUAUUGCUGUUCUUCUACCUGGAACGAUGAUUUUAACAGGUUUGGACAAUUAAAGGGACACUUAGAACAUGUCUUUGCAGGAAGAUAAUGCUGAUAAACUUCUGUGUGCUGGUGAACAUAACCAUUUCAGGAAAUUUAGGUAUGCAGAGAUGCUCAACUGUAACCAAUCAUGUAAGUAGGUAUGUGUUCAUAGGCCUUUGUUUGAGAUGCUGUCUGCAGGAACUAGCUGUAAAGAGUAAUCUUCUUGAGUUGUAUCUUUUUUUAUAAACAGCUUUAUUGAAAUGAAAUUCACAUAUGCAGUUCACCUAUUGAAAGGGUAUAGUCCAAUGAGUUUUAGUUUGCUCAGAGUUCCAGCCAUCAACAUCUUUGUACAAGAAAACUAUACAAAACCAUGCACUCGUAAGUAUGAGGAAAUAAUUGUGGAAAGAUUUGGGUCUUUCCCUAAAGAGGUAAUAUACAAACCUUAUUAUUAUGAGUAAAGUUGACAUACAGUACUUCAAUUACAGUUGCAAUACUGCAAGUAAAUAGCAUGUUCCUUGUGUGUAAUACGUGGGUUUUACUGGAAACACUAUUGUGGAAUAGGUAAGUGACAAUUACAUGAUACAACACUGUCAGAGUUGAGAAGUCAUUGAGGGUGAUGCACUGUUUUACAUUGAUUGCUUUUUCUGUAUGAUUAUACUGGGCAUUAAUUUUAGUCCGAUGAGGCUAUUCCAUUUUCAGUGUUCAUGUUUGUGUGCCAUUCUAAACCCUCACUUCUUCUGUUUCUUGCUGCUUUGGAUAUGGUUUCUGAACAUUUUUUUUUCCCCAACUGCCAUUGUUUCUCCGUGAAGGCUUACUAAAGUUUGUUAUUUUUCAUGUAAACUGAAUUAACGAUAUAGUGAAAAGUCACCAGAUUUCAUGGUUUAAGGAAUGAAUUGUGGAAUAGAGAAAAGUGAGUGCCAAAUAAAGAUAAGAGGUUUGAAUCUGA